rnacentral:rRNA from 1 species
AGUGAAGCGGCAACAGCUCAAAUUUGAAAGCUGGCCUUCGGGUCCGCAUUGUAAUUUGUAGAGGAUGCUUUGGGUGAAACGCCAGUCUAAGUUCCUUGGAACAGGACGUCAUAGAGGGUGAGAAUCCCGUAUGUGACUGGAAAUGUUAACCUAUGUAAAGCUCCUUCGACGAGUCGAGUUGUUUGGGAAUGCAGCUCUAAAUGGGAGGUAAAUUUCUUCUAAAGCUAAAUAUUGGCGAGAGACCGAUAGCGCACAAGUAGAGUGAUCGAAAGAUGAAAAGCACUUUGGAAAGAGAGUUAAAAAGCACGUGAAAUUGUUGAAAGGGAAGCGCUUGCAAUCAGACUUGUUUAAACUGUUCGGCCGGUCUUCUGACCGGUUUACUCAGUUUGGACAGGCCAGCAUCAGUUUCGGCGGCCGGAUAAAGGCUCUGGGAAUGUGGCCUUCACUUCGGUGAAGGUGUUAUAGCCCAGGGUGUAAUACGGCCAGCCGGGACUGAGGUCCGCGCUUCGGCUAGGAUGCUGGCGUAAUGGUUGUAAGCGACCCGUCUUG